rnacentral:lncRNA from 1 species
CUUCUUCGCAUUUCCCUUCCCUAGCCAACCCUAGUUGCCACUGGUUUCACCACCAUCGAUGGCUUUCAUCGGCUGUUCUCUUCAUGCUGCUCUUACGCACCAUCCCAUGCCAUUUUGUGCCUAACGCAUUGAGUCCACCGACCUCCUCCUCCUUUUUCAUCUCUCUUAAACAAAGUUCAGUCUUUUUAUUAUUAUUAUUUUUCUAAUUUCAAAGAAAACAAACAAAAUUAGCCAAUCAAGUAAAAAAGCAAAAUUAAUUGAUGUUUUUGAUUCAUUGGGUCUGGGUUGCCCAAAGGGUGUGAUAUGGUGGCAGCUACUGCACUCCCUGUCGCUUUUCCAGAAAAGCUAAAGAGGAAAUUAAAGAUAAAAUCAUAAAAAAAUAAAAAAAAAUUUAUGGAGAUCUAAAACAACAAAAAAAGAAAAUCAAGAAGACAGAGUCUUUAAAAACAACAAAAACAUUUUGAAUGAACUUUUUUCUUCAAAGAAACGUCAUGCUUCAUCUAGAGUGAAAGAGAGAGCAAAGAGACGAAAAAUGGAAACAAAUAGAGAAGAAAAGGCUAACAUGUAGUAACCAAAAAGAACCUUAAAUAUGAGUUGCAUAAUGCUUCCAUGUUUUCUUUCCCUACCGUAACAAAAAACAAAUUAGAAACUUUGCAAUAAUAAUAAAAAAAAGCACAUAGAACUCCACCCAUUAGUUAUACACCUUCUUCCUCGGGGUUGUCUUCAUAUGCUGAAGUCAAUCAUAUUCUCUUCAUUUUCAAGCUUAAAUGUUGAAAAAGAAAAAAAACUUCAAACUUUGAUAGGAUUAAGGGUUGGGGCUAGGCUUAUCGAAAUCAAGGGAUAGUCUUGGGAGAUCCACCGGUGGGUUCGAUGUCCGAGGAAGCCACUGGCGAUGGUGGAAUCGGUGGCGGAUAGGGUUUACUGGAAAGGGAGAUAAGAUGGAAAGAAAGGAAGAAGAAGAAGAAGAAGAAAGGGAAAAGAGAGAAAAUAAAAUAAGGAAAAAAAGAAAAGAAA